rnacentral:rRNA from 1 species
UCAAGUUAUUAAGGGUGCAGGGCGGAUGCCUUGGCACUAGGAGCCGAUGAAGGACGUGAUAAGCUGCGAUAAGCUUCGGGGAGUUGCACGUAAACUUUGAUCCGAAGAUUUCCGAAUGAGGAAACUCACUUAGAGUAAUGUCUAAGUAUCAUUAAGUGAAUACAUAGCUUAAUGAGGGGAACUCAGGGAACUGAAACAUCUAAGUACCUGAAGGAAGAGAAAGAAAUUCGAUUCCGUAAGUAGCGGCGAGCGAACGCGGAUUAGCCCAAACCAAUAAAGUUUUCUUUAUUGGGGUUGCGGACAUAUCAUAACGAAGAGGUAUCGUAAUUGAAGAGGUUUGGAAAGACCCACCACAGAAGGUAAUAGUCCUGUAUGUUAAACGAGAAGACUUCAGAUAUGAUCCAGAGUACCACGGGACACGUGAAACCCUGUGGGAAGCAGGAGGGACCACCCUCCAAGGCUAAAUACUACCUAGUGACCGAUAGCGUAUAGUACCGUGAGGGAAAGGUGAAAAGAACCCCGGGAGGGGAGUGAAAUAGAACCUGAAACCCUGCACUUACAAGCUGUGGAAGCACAUUUCUUGUGUGACCGCGUACUUUUUGUAGAACGGGCCAACGAGUUACGUUAAGUAGCAAGGUUAAGCACUUAAGGUGUGGAGCCGUAGCGAAAGCGAGUUUUAACUGAGCGUUCAGUUACUUGACGUAGACCCGAAACCGGGCGACCUACCCAUGAGCAGGAUGAAGCGAAAGUAAAAUUUCGUGGAGGUCCGAACCCACGAGCGUUGAAAAGCUCGGGGAUGACUUGUGGGUAGCGGUGAAAUUCCAAUCGAGCCCGGAGAUAGCUGGUUCUCCCCGAAAUAGCUUUAGGGCUAGCCUCAAGGUGAGAGAUACGGAGGUAGAGCACUGAAUGUCCUAGGGGGUAUUGCACCUACCGAAGACUAUCAAACUCCGAAUGCCGUCAUCUUAUACUUGGGAGUCAGACUGUGGGUGAUAAGAUUCAUAGUCGAAAGGGCAACAGCCCAGAUCGUCAGCUAAGGUCCCUAAAUGUAAGUUAAGUGGUAAAGGAUGUGGGAUUGCACAGACAACCAGGAUGUUGGCUUAGAAGCAGCCACUCAUUCAAAGAGUGCGUAAUAGCUCACUGGUCGAGUGAUCCUGCGCCGAAGAUUUCCGGGGCUAAAACUUACUACCGAAGCUACGGCAUCAGUAAUGAUGGGUAGGGGAGCUUCCCAUACGGGUUGAAGCAUGACCGUAAGGACAUGUGGACAGUAUGGGAGUGAGAAUGUUGGCAUGAGUAGCGAGAUGUGGGUGAGAAUCCCACAGGCCGUAAACCCAAGGUUUCCAGGGGAAGGUUCGUCCGCCCUGGGUUAGUCGGGACCUAAGCUGAGGCCGAAAGGCGUAGGUGAUGGACAACAGGUUGAUAUUCCUGUACUACCGAUAACCGUUUGAGAGAAGGGAUGACACAGUAGGAUAAGCUAAGCACACUGUUGGUUAUGUGUGCCCAAGCAUUGAGGCAGUCAAAGUAGGCAAAUCCGCUUUGAUAAUGCUGGGAUGUGAUGGGGAGCGAAAUUUAGUAGCGAAGUAGCUGAUUUCACACUGUCAAGAAAAGUCUCUAUCGAGGUUAAAGGUACCCGUACCGCAAACCGACACAGGGGGGUGAGGAGAGUAUCCUAAGGCCAGCGAGAGAACUGUUGUUAAGGAACUCGGCAAAAUGACCCCGUAACUUAGGGAUAAGGGGUGCCACCAUCAGGUGGCCGCAGAGAAUAGGCCCAAGCGACUGUUUACCAAAAACAUAGGUUUCUGCUAAGUCGCAAGACGAUGUAUAGGAGCUGACGCCUGCCCGGUGCUGGAAGGUUAAGGGGAUCUGUUAGAGCAAUCGAAGCAGUGAACUUAAGCCCCAGUAAACGGCGGCCGUAACUAUAACGGUCCUAAGGUAGCGAAAUUCCUUGUCGGGUAAGUUCCGACCCGCACGAAAGGCGUAACGAUUUGGGCACUGUCUCAACAACAGACUCGGUGAAAUUGUAAUUCCGGUGAAGAUGCCGGAUACCUGCGACAGGACGGAAAGACCCCAUGGAGCUUUACUGUAGCUUGACAUUGGGUCUUGGUACUACAUGUACAGGAUAGGUGGGAGGCUUUGAAACCAGGACGCCAGUUUUGGCGGAGCCAUCCUUGGGAUACCACCCUUGUAGUACUGGGACUCUAACCAUAGGCCAUGAAUCUGGUCUUGGGACACUGUCAGGUGGGCAGUUUGACUGGGGCGGUCGCCUCCCAAAAGGUAACGGAGGCGCUCAAAGGUUCUCUCAGUACGGUCGGAAAUCGUACGUAGAGUGUAAAGGCAAAAGAGAGCUUGAUUGCAAGACAUACAGGUCGAGCAAGGAUGAAAAUCGGACUUAGUGAUCCGGUGGUUCUGCGUGGAAGGGCCAUCGCUCAACGGAUAAAAGCUACCCUGGGGAUAACAGGCUUAUCUCCCCCAAGAGUCCACAUCGACGGGGAGGUUUGGCACCUCGAUGUCGGCUCAUCACAUCCUGGGGCUGUAGUAGGUCCCAAGGGUUGGGCUGUUCGCCCAUUAAAGUGGUACGCGAGCUGGGUUCAGAACGUCGUGAGACAGUUCGGUCCCUAUCCGUCGCAGGCGUAGGAAAUUUGAGAAGACCUGUCCUUAGUACGAGAGGACCGGGAUGGACGUACCUCUGGUGUACCAGUUGUUCUGCCAAGGGCAUGGCUGGGUAGCUAUGUACGGAAUGGAUAAGCGCUGAAAGCAUCUAAGCGCGAAGCCAACUUCAAGAUAAGAUUUCCCACCGCAAGGGUAAGACCCCAGAAAGACUAUCUGGUUGAUAGGUCGAAGGUGUAAGUGCAGCAAUGUAUUUAGCUUAUCGAUACUAAUAGGUCGAGGACUUGACCAA